rnacentral:lncRNA from 1 species
GCAUUCUUUAAUCCUGCAGGAUGGAAUUUAAUUUUUAUAAAAAUGUUAGUUUAUAUUAUUUGCAAUAGAUGGCGCUGUUAGGCCUGUAUGUAUGAAAGCUCUAGAUUUAGAAAAUUACGCAUUCCUUUCCCCCCGGUUGUUGCCGCUGUUUACGGUUGCCCAUUGGAUAAUGAUUCGUCACGUGACUCAUUCCGCCAUAUUUUUUUUUUUUGUCCUAGACCACGAGCUCUGAAUGCUAAAGCCAGUAAAUCAUACUUAUUAUGUAAUGAAAACAUUAUUUUGCACUAUAUGAAAUAAAUUUGAUUAUUAUUAUUUAUUUUUUUUAUUAAUUUUACUUGUUGAUAC